AGAGCGAACGCUGGCGGCAGGCUUAACACAUGCAAGUCGAGCGGGCGUAGCAAUACGUCAGCGGCAGACGGGUGAGUAACGCGUGGGAACAUACCUUUGGUUCGGAACAACACAGGGAAACUUGUGCUAAUACCGGAUAAGCCCUUACGGGGAAAGAUUUAUCGCCGAAAGAUUGGCCCGCGUCUGAUUAGCUAGUUGGUGAGGUAAUGGCUCACCAAGGCGACGAUCAGUAGCUGGUCUGAGAGGAUGAUCAGCCACAUUGGGACUGAGACACGGCCCAAACUCCUACGGGAGGCAGCAGUGGGAAUAUUGGACAAUGGGCGCAAGCCUGAUCCAGCCAUGCCGCGUGAGUGAUGAAGGCCCUAGGGUUGUAAAGCUCUUUUGUGCGGGAAGAUAAUGACGGUACCGCAAGAAUAAGCCCCGGCUAACUUCGUGCCAGCAGCCGC
rnacentral:rRNA from 1 species